rnacentral:rRNA from 1 species
GACUCUCGACAACGGAUAUCUUGGCUCUCGCCACGAUGAAGAACGUAGUGAAAUGCGAUACUUGGUGCGAAUUGCAGAAUCCCGUGAAUCAUCAAGUCUUUGAACACAAGUUGCGCCCGAGGCCCUAGGCUGAGGGCACUCCUGCCUGGGCAUCA